rnacentral:rRNA from 1 species
AUUGAACGCUGGCGGCAGGCCUAACACAUGCAAGUCGAGCGGAUGAAGGGAGCUUGCUCCUGGAUUCAGCGGCGGACGGGUGAGUAAUGCCUAGGAAUCUGCCUGGUAGUGGGGGAUAACGUCCGGAAACGGGCGCUAAUACCGCAUACGUCCUGAGGGAGAAAGUGGGGGAUCUUCGGACCUCACGCUAUCAGAUGAGCCUAGGUCGGAUUAGCUAGUUGGUGGGGUAAAGGCCUACCAAGGCGACGAUCCGUAACUGGUCUGAGAGGAUGAUCAGUCACACUGGAACUGAGACACGGUCCCGGCUCCUACGGGAGGCAGCAGUGGGGAAUAUUGGACAAUGGGCGAAAGCCUGAUCCAGCCAUGCCGCGUGUGUGAAGAAGGUCUUCGGAUUGUAAAGCACUUUAAGUUGGGAGGAAGGGCAGUAAGUUAAUACCUUGCUGUUUUGACGUUACCAACAGAAUAAGCACCGGCUAACUUCGUG